AAUCAACGCUGGCGGCGUGCCUAACACAUGCAAGUCGACACGAGAAAGGGAUUUCGGUCCUGAGUAAAGUGGCGCACGGGUGAGUAACACGUGACUAAUCUACCUCCGAGUGGGGAAUAACUGAGGGAAACCUUAGCUAAUACCGCAUAACACUUACGAGUCAAAGCAGCAAUGCGCUUGGAGAGGAGGUCGCGGCAGAUUAGCUAGUUGGCGGGGUAAUGGCCCACCAAGGCGAUGAUCUGUAUCCGGCCUGAGAGGGCGCACGGGACACACUGGAACUGAAACACGGUCCAGACUCCUACGGGAGGCAGCAGUGGGGAAUUUUGCGCAAGUGGGGGAAACCCUGACGCAGCAACGCCGCGUGGAGGAUGAAGUCUCUUGGGACGUAAACUCCUUUCGA
rnacentral:rRNA from 1 species